rnacentral:lncRNA from 1 species
AGAGUUUGUUGUGCUGGGUUCACAUGUCAUAGACUGAGUGGCAGAGUGAGCAUUGCAAUCUGGAGUUUUUGACUAGUGCCUUUCCACUUCAGUGCCUCUGGGAAACACAGGCUAGGUCUUACCACAUCCAUGACUGGCACUUGAAUGUGAGUUUGUUUAUCCUUCCUUUGUGAAAACUAGGUUUCAUAGUGGAGAAGAGGACACUUCAGUAUCUAAGGCGGACCUGAGGUUAGGAAUAGAAAGCAGAGAGAAGAGGUCGGACUUCAUCCAGAGCCAGCCUGGAAACAUCAAUUUCCAACGUGCGCGAAUACCGUCGCGCGAAGUGCUCCAUCAGAGGCGUGUCUGUCCUGAUGACUGCUCUCCUCUCAGCUACCGGAUGGGUCAUUUUUCUAUGUCAACUCAUUGGAGCUCAGAUGCUAAAUGACUGGAGUCUCACAGACCGUGGAAGAUGAAGCUAUGUCUAUCUACAGGGACCUGUGAUUUAAAGAAGAGGCUGCCAGUCCCUGCUGCCUGUCUUGAAGGAAGUCCCUACCCUGCUCUCGGGUCCCCAGGUCCUCCCACAACCUGAGGACCAGGGAGACCCAGGCUUCCUGCACAGCUUUUUCUUGGCCUUGUGAGGGUAAGAAGAUCUGAGCCAACAUUAUCUUCUCUCUGGAGAUUUACAGAUCUCUGACCUCCCGGCAUUUCCCAACAUCCCCUGAUGCUGCUGCUGCUCUUCCCAUAAAGGAGGAAGCACCAGACUAAUUUCCGUCUCCUGGAACCCCAGAGACUGAGACUUCAGUUCUACCCAGCUUCCCGUGGAAGCCAGCAGCCAUCAGGCUCUUGAAAGUCAGAGAGCCCAGAGCUGUGGAUGACGGGAAUGGGAGCUGUGUUCAUGUCAACAUACAAUCAGAACCUCCCUUAUCCCUAACUAUGUUUUUCUAUAACUCAUGUUAACUUUUACUUAAGUCUCUCACUCCAUCAGGAACAAAUUUCAUCUCUAUCAAUUCAAGAUCUGC